UUCUUUUCCCUUCUGGUUUAUUCCUAUUCCCUUCUUUUUUGGGAAGCUGUAUUUAUCUUGUAUUUACUUUUGUAUUUAUCUUACCUUUUUAGAGGUGUUGUGCCUGCUUCUGCUGGCUUCAAAAAGGAACAGGGAGCUCUACAGUAGAAGCCUGAAGGUGAGGUGGGCUGGCCUCUCUGCCUGCCUGUGCUCCUUCCUUCCCCCUGGAAAGUUCACCACAUGAGACUUUGAUAGGCUUCUUCUUACCCUAUUUGUUUUACUUUUCCUCCCCCCUUUCGUGUUCUCCUUUCUCUUUUUCUUCCCUAUUUAUUUCUUCAAUUUUCUCUUUACUUCCCCUUUCUUCCCUCUUUCUUCUUGCUCUUUCUUUUUCAUCCCCUUUAUGUUUCCGUUUCCCUUCCUCUUUCCCUUUCCCUUCCACUUCCCCUUUCUCUUUCCCUUUCCCUUCCUUUCCCUUUUCCUUCCCUUUUCUCUUUCCUUUCCCUUUUUGUUUCCCCUCCCUUCCCUUCUUUGCCUCAAGAAGCUGUAUUUAUCUUGUAUUUACUUACUGUAUUAUCUUACCUUUUUUAGAGACUGUUGGCCUGCUUCUGCUGGCUUCAAAAAGGAACAGGGAGCUCUACAGUAGAAGCCUGAAGUUGAGGUGGGGUGGCCUCUCUGCCUGUACUCCUUCCUUCCUCCUGGAAAGUUCACCACAUGAGGUUUUGAUAGGCUUCCAUAAUGUAUGGGUAUGGAAAGCUGCAACUAACUCUGCAGAUGACUGAUUUUCACUAUUUCUGCAGUCACAUUGGUCUGGCAACAGGGGAAUCAGCUGUGGCUGUGGGUGUGGUGAGAGCAGCACAACCACCCCAUCCUUCUCUGAGUCCUCACUUCCUCUGCAGCAUUGCUUCACAGAGACCCUUGGCACACCCUUAAAAGCAGCGGCAGCAACCAGCCACAGUUGCACCUGGGUUUAAAUUUGUCUGC
rnacentral:lncRNA from 1 species